AUGAGUUACUUAUGUUGGAACUGCCGUGGGGCUGGCAAACCCACGAUAGUCCGAGAGCUUCGUGAUCUAGCGAGGCAACUUGCCCCCUCGAUCCUAUGUAUUGUUGAAACUCAAAUCGAGGGCUCCAGGGUGGAGAAUACGGUUGUAGCUUUAGGAUAUAAUAAAAGUUUUGCUGUUAGUAGCUCCGGGAGGAGUGGAGGUCUUGGAAUAUUUUGGAAUGAAGAAAUAAAGCUUGAAAUUUUAGUUUAUUCGAAGUAUCAUAUUGAUGUCUUGGUUGGCGAGCUCUUUGAUAUACAAACUAGAUUUACUUUCGUGUACAGUGAAGCUCAAGUUAGCGAACGCUACAAAACAUGGGACACACUAUGA
rnacentral:rRNA from 1 species